GAUGUAGCAGUUUGAAGCACUCAACGGACUCGAAAUGAAGGUGUGGAUCAACCUCCGAGGAAGCCAGCUCCAAAUUUGUCUCCGUUCUGAUUCGCCCAAGAGGCAUUACGUUGUGCUUCGAGGGUUUACUGCAGCUUAAUGGAUUUCGGUAGUUUAAUUUGAUUGCAGCUCAGUGAGAAAUCACUUACGGAAAUUUCGUAUGAAUUUCACGGAUCUCUGGCGGCUACGAUGCUUCACUGAGCUGACGUCCGAUGAUGGUCGAAAGGAAAUUCCCAAAGGCCAUAUCAGCACAAUCUUUUCAGCCAUUCAAAUCUAAUUUAUUGCUUUUGGUGGUAAAUUAAAUACAGCCGAAACUAUUAGAAAUUUAUCAAUUCUGUCAAAAAGCGUUCCGAAAAGGGAAGAAAGCCGUUAAUUAGUUGCAAAGGGUUUCUUAU